UCAUCCUGAACUGGCCGAGGGAGAGACGAGUUGGUGUGACGCGCAGAGGAAACCCCAAAAAAUAAAAAAGGUUUUAAGGGAAGGGAAAUGGGUUGAUGUUUGGGUAAACCAUAAAAGGAACCAAGAGGAAUAAAGCAAAAAUAAGAAAAACAGAAGAAACAAUUCGAAAGAUUUUAUUGGUAAAUGUGGGUAAAGGGAGAUCAUCUGCAAAUGAAGGAGAGGGUCUGCUCUCAAUGCCCUCAUUGUCUCCGGUCCUGACUGGGUCUUUGUGUGCGGUAGGGGGGGAAAAGAAACUGGAAACUUAACUGCAGACCCACAGGUAUUUUAUUAUUGGGAAUAUUGUCUUACACACAGAGAGGAGCAGCACCAAUCACGCCAACUUUUUUAUUACCACACGUACAUAUGCAGCUCGGUCGAUCAAAGAACGUGAUAUGGAAGUCGUUCAUUUGCAGCUCCAUAAUUCAGCUCCAUAACUGAAUUGUGUGACAUUAAACAACGGAGCCCUCGUUUGGAAAAAUGAGAGGAGAGCAAGAACAACCAGAGGUUUCUUUUAGGUACAGUUACCAAACUUACAAUGAGUCCAUUUGUAAAUUCCUCCGGCUCUAUUCCAACACUUGAUGGUGUUCUUUAAGAACAUUCAAAAAUAAAACUAUUGAUAACCCUGCCGAAAAGGGCGACGCUGAUCAAUGUAGUUUCAUCAUUGAAAUCAUAUUUACCUAUAUAUGAAUAACUAUCAUUGCACAGAACUUGUGAAUGUGGCCGUGGCGGGACCUUGAACCCUCUAGUGGCCAACAUACUGUAAAUGCAAUUUUUCAAAAACCAAAGUUAUAAGAAAUGCUGAGAAAUAUUAAUGUUUGUACAAAUGUUCUAGACAUAAAUGAAAAUUAAUAAAUAAAAGGCAAUUUUCCCC